rnacentral:antisense_RNA from 1 species
CUUCACCGAACCGAGCCACAGCGGCCGGUCGACGUCACGCUCCGCCCCGUACGUGCUGAGCAGGGCCUGAGCCUC